AACGAACGCUGGCGGCAUGCCUAACACAUGCAAGUCGAACGAGACCUUCGGGUCUAGUGGCGCACGGGUGCGUAACGCGUGGGAAUCUGCCCUUGGGUUCGGAAUAACAGUUAGAAAUGACUGCUAAUACCGGAUAAUGUCUUCGGACCAAAGAUUUAUCGCCCAGGGAUGAGCCCGCGUAGGAUUAGCUAGUUGGUGAGGUAAAGGCUCACCAAGGCGACGAUCCUUAGCUGGUCUGAGAGGAUGAUCAGCCACACUGGGACUGAGACACGGCCCAGACUCCUACGGGAGGCAGCAGUGGGGAAUAUUGGACAAUGGCGAAAGCCUGAUCCAGCAAUGCCGCGUGAGUGAUGAAGGCCUUAGGGUUGUAAAGCUCUUUUACCCGGGAUGAUAAUGACAGUACCGGGAGAAUAAGCCCCGGCUAACUCCGUGCCAGCAGCCGCGGU
rnacentral:rRNA from 1 species